CCUUACGAGUAGGGCUACACACGUGCUACAAUGGCGCAUACAAAGAGAAGCGACCUCGCGAGAGCAAGCGGACCUCAUAAAGUGCGUCGUAGUCCGGAUUGGAGUCUGCAACUCGACUCCAUGAAGUCGGAAUCGCUAGUAAUCGUAGAUCAGAAUGCUACGGUGAAUACGUUCCC
rnacentral:rRNA from 1 species